UACGGAGGGUGCAAGCGUUAUCCGGAUUCACUGGGUUUAAAGGGUGCGUAGGAGGGCAGGUAAGUCAGUGGUGAAAUCUCCGAGCUUAACUUGGAACUGCCGUUGAUACUAUCUGCCUUGAAUAUUGUGGAGGUGAGCGGAAUAUGUCAUGUAGCGGUGAAAAUGCUUAGAUAUGACAUAGAACACCAAUUGCGAAGGCAGCUCGCUACACAUAUAUUGACUCUGAGGCACGAAAAGCGUGGGGAUCAAACAGG
rnacentral:rRNA from 1 species